UACGUAGGUGGCAAGCGUUGUCCGGAAUUACUGGGCGUAAAGCGUGCGCAGGCGGUCUGCUAAGAGAGGUGUGAAAUCCCCGGGCUUAACCUGGGAACUGCGCUUCUAACUGGCAGGCUUGAGUGUGGCAGAGGGGGGUGGAAUUCCACGUGUAGCAGUGAAAUGCGUAGAGAUGUGGAGGAACACCGAUGGCGAAGGCAGCCCCCUGGGCUAACACUGACGCUCAUGCACGAAAGCGUGGGGAGCAAACAGG
rnacentral:rRNA from 1 species